GGCAGCAUGGCAUAGUGGUUUGAGGGCUGAACUAUAACUCUGGAGACCAGAGUUCGAUUCCUAGCUCAGCCA